rnacentral:lncRNA from 1 species
CAACAAUGAGAGAAAUCAAGGACGUGGGUUACAGUUUAGGAAAUUAAAAAAAAAAAAGUUUCAUUAUUCGAAGACGUUGAAUAUUGAUUUCAUUUUCUUCACUAAAGACACCGAAUAAUAGUAGAUUGGGGGAAGUAUAAGCGAUGAAGAAAAAGAACAUCGACGGCCAACUGGUGUAGUGAUCUUUAAAAAAAAAUGGCAAAAAUUUAAGGUUAGUAAUAAUUUAUAUUUUGUAUUUGAAAUACAUUAGUGUAUAUUGAGUAUAUUGAAAAUAACAUUAUUUAUGUAUUAUUAAAUAUAUGAAAUAGUAUAUAUGUAACAAAUCACAUAAAAUGUAUGUAUUAUGCAGUAGUAUAUAUGUAAGAAUUAAAAAAAAAAUACUGAUCGGAUACAUAAUCAGUUUAUACAGUGGCAUAUAAAUGCAGUAAAAAAAUCACAAAACAUGAAAAAAAAAAUAUGUGUAUGUAUUAUUGGAUAUAUAUAUUGAUAAAGAAGCUUAAGUAAAGUUAAGGUAAGGGUUCCUACUACUAGACUCAAUAAUGAAAUUGAGAUGUAUUGAGAUGUAUUGACUAUAUGGAUUCCACUUAACUGAGAUGGACUGAUUGAUAUGCAAAUGUACAUCUGAUAACCGUUCAAAUGUACAUCUGAUGACCGUUUGACUGUAUGAAUCUUACUGAACUGAGAUGGAUUGACUGAUAUGUAAAAUUUGCUAUGAUGACUGAACUGAGGACAUUGAAUUAAUUAAAUUGUGGGUUGUUGACUGUUACGUUAAUGCAUAGGUAGUGUACUGUAAAUUUAAUUGACUGAACUGAGGUGAGUAACGCUUAUGUAUAAGUUUAAUUGUUUGAGGAACCGUUCUAAUAAUAUUUGAUUAUGUACUAGAUUGGGUAAUUUGACUGUAUAUGUGUUGAACUGAAAGAAUGACAUGAUGGUAGUUUUAUAUUGUAAAUUGGGUCGACCGUUUUAAAGGUUAGUAUGGAAUGAGGGGAACUGUUAGCUUUAUCUAUAGGGUAGUGUGCUUUGCAGGUGUCCUGCGGGAUCACCACCUGUUGUGCAUCCUCUGGAGCACAAGACUGAUAGGUGCAUCCUUAGAAAGCACUAGACUGAUAGAUGCAUCCUUCGGGAGCACUAGACUGAUAGAUGCAUCCUUCGGGAGCACUAGACUGAUAAGUGCAUCUUUCGGGAGUACUAGACUGAUAUGCGCAUCCUUUAGGAGCAUUAGACCGAUUAUGUGCAUCCUACGGGAUCACAAGACUGUUAUGAUGUAGGGUAUCUCUCAAUAAUAAGCUGAUAAUUUUACCCCUACCGGGACUAGUAAUGGGUCUCUUACUGAGUAUAUUUAUAAUCACCCUUUCAUGUUUAACUUUUUAGGCAAAGGUAAUACAGGAGGCAGACCGACGAGGGACAAGAAGGAGAUGUGAUCGCCAUAGGGGGAUUUUCUUCAAAAUUUCUUCCGCUUACAGUCUUUUAUUUGUUUUACUUUAGCAUUUGUGAAUGAAACGAGUUUCAUGUUUAGAACGACUGUUUAUUUCUUGAUUUUAUAAACUAUACUUUCGAACCUUAAAUUUUGUUUGAAAUAGGGCCCGAAUAAAUAUUCUUCGAUGUUUAUUGAUUGUAACAGGUUUUAUAAACUCUUAUGUUUAAAAGAAGUGUCUUUGUAAUAGAGUAAUGGCCUCAGUUUUGUUCAAAAAAUUGGGUCGUUACACUAUUAGGUGUAUCAGGUGUACCAAAAGUGUAUCAGUAGUAAGAGCAUUUGUGACAAUUUACAUCUUGUAUACGUGAGUUGGACUUUGUUUUUGCUAUUUUUGCAAACAAUAAAUGAGUGUGCUAUGAACUUUGUGAGUUUGUUUGAGGGCUCGUUUCAAAAUAUUUGUUCAGAUUAUUGUUCAUGGGAACUAUCGUGCAGUGGACGUCGGAAAAACCUUAAUAUUCCCAACACAUCAUUUAUGGCGUCGGAAAAACAUAUAUUUUUUAUCGAUGUUUCUAACGUCGCGUCGGAGAAUAUUUAACGGUAUAAUUAUUUAUUUCGAGCAGUCCCAAUGGGGUUCACAUGCGUCGGGGAAGAGAACCUCUCCCAACAUCAACAUUGGUGCGUCGGUAGAAACUACCUUCUACCGACAUUCGAUUUCCUAACGAUUUUUUUGUGCGUCGGGAAAAUCUUGAUUUCUUGUAGUGUAAUUGUCAAGAGAAGUAUGAGAUUCAAGCAACAUUAAGAUUGAUUGUUGAGAUGUUAAUUCCGCUUACUAGGCGUUCAACAUGCUAUCUCGCGAGGAGGUAUGCGUUGAAUGUCUGGGCGGUCAUGCCCCCACAUAGUCGUAUGAAGUGACCUUAGGAUAGGGUGUGAUAGUCGUAUUUGAGCUAUAUGCAGAAGCAUACCUUACAGUUUUUUCCAUGUACGUUUAGUGAUUGUCUUGUUGAAUUUCGUUUUGGCUAGGGUUUGAAGAACAUUGAGGUAUGUUAUCUUACCUCUUGUAACUCUUCAUUUAUGUCAACUUCUAUGUCUUUUACCUCUUAAUUCAUUUCGAAUAUUUGAGUUAAGGUUUAAGUUUUCUUUAUGUUGUGAACUACCUUAAGCAGAACUUUUUAAAUAUUGUAUUGUACUUGAACCCUUGUCUAACUUGUUCUUACAGUUUGAAAUGUUUGGUCUUUUUGUGUAGGUUAUGCCUAAGCAACAUGGAUUUGAAAAGAGGAGAGAUCUUUAAAUGUUGUAUCAUUACUUCAAUCAUUGUAAUCUCUUCUGUUCCAACUAUCAUUCAUCUAUCUUGCAUUUGGGCUUUUUAGCUCAAUUAAAUUAGUAUUUUGAGUGUACAGUGUGUGAUUAAAGUUUGGUUACAUUUGUAGUCAAGAGGUUAAGGCGUGUUAUAUUUGUGAACUACUCUAAACUCCUUCCUAGUGAUGUGUUAGAUUGAACUAUGGAUGAAUAUCUUUUCUUUUACUAGGUUACUAUGUGAACCUAGUAAAGUGGAGAUGCCCCAACCAACAAUUGAUAUACAAGAUCGUUUUGUAGAGUUAGUGUUAGCAACAAGCUACAAUGUACUCUUAGCUAUAGUGAUUCUAUUGAUAUUAUUAUUUCUCAACACAAGUGUUCUUUAUAUAUUCUUCAUAGUUAGUGGCUGUCAAAAUUUCAUUCAUAGUAUAAAUGAAACUUGGUAUUAAAUGUGGUGUGUUAUUCAAUUCUUACUUUCUCCGUGUUAUGACUAUCACUCUCCAUGUAAUGACUAUCACGUAGUUAUGAUAGUUGUAGAUUAAUAACAUUUAAAUAGUAUAUUAAUAGAUCGUGGAGUUGCUUGUGUGCUUGAUUUAUUAAGAAGUUAAUUGUUCUUUUCCCAUCCUUCUGACAACCUUAGUUGCUUGAGUUGAUUAGUUCUUGUUUACGGUUUUGAUAAAUAAAGUGUGACUAAUUAGUUACCUUUUAAGAUCAUUUUAUAAGUACUUCAACUACUUGCCUCUUCAAACAAUAGAUAGCAUGUAACUUAUGUUACAAAGGCUCUUGGAAAUGAUUUUGUUUUCUUUCCAAGGAUGUGAAAUGCUUAUAAUAUAUAUUUUUAUUUUAAGUUUCCUUUUAAAAUUGUUUUUGUACCUAAUGGUCCAACCAAUCUUAGACUCUAAUAUUCCUGUUUUGAAUUUCAAGUGUUCACAAUAAACAAUCUUAGGUGUUAUUCUACUCUAAGAAUUUUUUAGAUAGAUUACAUGUUUUCUUUAGUUGGUGGAUUGUUUUACUCACUCUAAUAGCUUUAAAUGAUCUUAAAACUUUGAGUUUAACUCUAAAAUGGAUGUGUUUUUUACUAUAGUUCAGCAAGUAGUUGAUAUUUGAUUAGAAACAAAACAUCUUGUAAAUGUAGUAAUUUGGGACAAUAUCUUGUUGUGUUUAGAUUAUUCUUUGUAAAACUUUUACCAAGUUUUGGUUAGUAGUUUGAUUGUAGGAAUAGUUGCAAAUUUAGCAAUUAAAUUCAAAUUAAUUAAGUGUAUAGCACAAUUUUAAAAAAUUUGUAAAUAUAGCAAAAUUUGUCAAAUUCUAUCAAGGAUAUAAGUCUAUCACUGAUAGACUAUGUUGCAAAUAUUGGUCUAUCACUGAUAUACCAUAUGAAGUCUAUCAACGAUACAAGUCUAUCAGUGAUAGUUUUGUUAUAUUUGCAAUUUUUUUAAAAUGUUGUUAUAUCCUUAAUUAUUAUUGCUAAAAUAGUCAUCUAUUACAAUUUUCCUUGAUUGUAUUUACCCAUUUGGAGGCCUUUGACAGUUUUCUUGUAUUUAGUUUCUUUAUCAACUUUAUUCUUAUAUAUAACAUUUUAAUUUUGUAUUUGUACCAAUUUGUGUUAAAAUGGAAUUAGUUGAUGAUGAAAUUCAUGUGAAUAAUAACAACUUCAAAAAAUAUAACUGUUCAUAUACUUUUUAUCAAAUUUUAAUUUUUGAUUUUUAAUUUUUGAAAUUAAACCUUUAUAAACAGGUUCUUAAAUUUUGUUUCUGUAUUUAGAAUUGGAAAAAGAAAACAAAGAUUUAUUUAAAAAAUGCAAAAGCUAAAGAAAUAAAUAGAGAGAAGACCAUAGUAAAUUUAAAAGAAAGAAAUAAUAAUAAAUGUUAUCCAAGAAAUGUAAAUGACGAAUUUAGACAAUUCCAUUAUCGUUAUUCACAUUCAAAUCGAUGAAAACACAUAAGAUGAAGAGCUUUUCAAAUCACAAAAGAAAAAGAGAAAAGAAGCCAAGGCCUGAAAAGCUCAUAAUACAAACAAAGGCAGUUGAAUAAACUAGAUCUUACAUAUACAUAUAUAUCUUGUUACAAAGGUUAAGCAAGAAAUUGAAUUAUAUUUUUUCUUUCUUGGUUUUUGUGAUGGCCCAACAAAGACAGCCUGGAAUAGAAGGAUCCAAACCAAACCCCAACCCCACUUCUAUUAUUCUUACUUUAUUUCUUCCUUUCACAAACACAAAUUCUCCUCUCACCUUACUAAAAUAAAACAUAAUUCAUUUGUCAUCACAUAUAAAGCUUACAAAAAGAAGAGAAAGUGGAGAUAUUAUGUGUUGCCUAACUUUGGUAACUAUUUUCCUCACUUUCCCACCUUUUUUUUUUUUAUUUUAUGGUUGAAGAAUGAUGUAUACAUCAUUACAUUAUAAUUAAUAACUACUCAUUCCAUCCUUACAACUUCUAUAAUUGUGUUAGAAUGACAAUAUCAUCAAGGCAUAUUUGAAAUGACUUUCUAAACAACACUUCAAAAAUCAUUUCAAACUCUUUGACUCAACGAGUUGGAGUUUUGUUUGGUGUAAGAAGUUUAUGCCCCACCCCAAAAUUAGAAAGAUGUCACUUUUAUGUUUUAUUAACUUCUUAAAUUGGAGGUCUCCAACGCUCCAAACAUCACAACUUCACUAUAUGUUUAGGCCCCAACUUCAAGUGGUGAAGUUAUCUCCAUUUUUUUUAAGAACAACUUUUUAUUGUAAAAAUGAGAGAAUAUAUGAGCAUAUAAAAACCAAACCCACAAAAAGAGAAAGAGUUUGAAAUCUUUUCUCUUUGUUUCCCACUUACUAUUUGUUAAAGUAUUUUUGAUCUGUUGAAGUGUUUAAUCAAUCUCUUUUUCAACCUCUCUUUUUCAUAUUAGAACUUCAUAUUUGUUCCAAUGUUUACCAUUUUCUAAUUUUUGUGUGGCUCAAACUAUUAUAAUCCAUCGACUAUACUAUCCGACCAACACUUCAAAUACUCUCCCGAGUCUUUAGAGAACACAUGCUAGUAGCUAAGGUUUGAUGGGUCCAAAGUACAAUAAUUUAAAAAUGUAAGAGACGGAGAAACAUUAAAAAAUUGAGUAUUAAACUUGUAAGUUGCAAUGUAAAAUAUAGCAUUUUGUUUUUAUGUUCUGUGUCUCACCUGAGCCUCAGAAACUUCUUCUGGUUUCCCUCUUUGCUUGUUCUUUGCCUUGAUUUCUGCUCCCAUUUCUUUUUGUCUUGUAGUAGUGAUUCUUGUUGGGAUUACCUAAUUGCACAGACAUUACAGAAGAAACCAUAAACAAAAACAAAAGUAUUCUUCAUCUUCUUCUUUUCUAAUCUGUAGUCUAAUCCAAUUUUGCUCCAUUUCUCUACUUGGCAUUGAUUUCUCCUCAGCCAUUGCCAUUAUCAGAGAAUAUUAAACAAACAAACUGAACAGUACCUUAGAUGUUUCUGUCUCAUGGAUGAAGCUCAUAUUGUCUUAGUGAUUUGAUUUUUCUCCUAUUUUCUUCCGCUCUUCGAUUACAGCCCCUAGGGUUCCAAAUCCAUGGGAAUUUGCCAGGCGAAGGUGAUCGCAAACCCA